GAAAAAUAUAAAAAUUUAAUUUAAUUUCAUCUUAAAUUUUGUACUUGGUUAGCAACCAUAACCCCGCUUCAUAUGUUUCCAUGUGGAUACCUACUCAUUGUUGUGUAGGUAGAUGAAAAGAUGGAAAUAUUUGAAGAAGAGAUAGAAUUUUAAGCUACAGGGUUAUUUAAAUUUCAUUUUUACACUCCAUAGAUAUUUUAUUUACGUUAUUAUGAGGUAAUCGAUGUAUGGAUCGACUAGCAUAUAAGUUACUUUAGAGUGAAUUUCGUACACUAUGAAAUAAUAGUAAGUUUCUCGAUCUUUUAAUUAAGCAUUUCUCUUUUUAAUUAUGUUAAUUUCACAUAUUUAUUAUAUGAUAACUUUUAUGUUUGUGAAUGUUUCAAAUUGAAAUUUAUUUUCUUGUAUUUUUUAUUAGAUUCUAUAUUUAAACUCAUCUCAGGAAAGUGUGUCACAUGUUACAAAAUUUUAUUCUAUUUUUUGUAAUUUUCCUUUUUCUAUCUCAAAACGGUAAAUUAAAAAUUAUUUUAUAUAAAUGAAUUUUUUUUAGGUGACCUCCUGUUUAAUUUUGUCCAUGGGACAAACAUAACGUAACACUUCAAUGUAGUUAAGAGAUAUUUUACUAAGUUUUAUAACAACUAUUUAAUUUAUGUAGUUAAGAGAUAUUUUACUAAAUCUUAUAACAACUAUUUAAUUUGUAUAAAGAAACCGUGUGCUUUAUACAUUAUAAAUUCAUCAAAUCCUUUUCUAUUUUUUUCAUGCAAAAGGGAAAAAUAUGGCUAAAGUCACUAAGUUUGUUUAUAUUACGAUCCACUUUCUUUCACUAUUUUUCAUUGCAAUGAACAUUGUCGCAAUUCCUGAAUGUCAUGCAGACUCUCAUUGAGUAGCAAAAAUUGACUAUGUGCUUCCUCUUAAACCGCAAUGUAGGAAUUACACGUGUGUUUGUUAAGAUUCAAAUAGAUAUCGCUGAUGUUAAAAUGUUCCAUGUGUAGGAAUUACACAUGUGUUUGUUAUAAUUCAAUUAAAUAUCGCAGAUGAUAAAAUGUUCUAUGACAUGUCAUUUAACCAAUGUUUUGGCAUUCAAUAAUUGAAUUCGGUUUGUAUUUAUUUCCCUUUAAUAAUUUCACAGAUUUUAUGGUC